rnacentral:lncRNA from 1 species
UUCAGUUCAACAUUUUUGGCCAGCAAAGAGAGGAUGUCAGAGUGGACAACUUUCAACGUCGCUUUAAAAUCAGCAGAAAUAUUGAGCGACGGAAGUGUCAGUGCUUGCGCCAACUUCGUACUCAAAUGCUCAAGUUUAUCCUUAUGUUUGGCAGCACUAGCCUGACCGAUGUCCAUAUCCAUAAAAGAUACAUACUCAAAUAUCGACUGCUUGAUGAACUUCAUAUCUUCCUCUGAAAAAGCAGAAGGACGACCGGUUGAAGCAAGGCGAGACGUCUUGACUUG